rnacentral:rRNA from 1 species
ACGGAGGGGGCUAGCGUUGUUCGGAAUUACUGGGCGUAAAGCGCGCGUAGGCGGCUUUGUAAGUCAGAGGUGAAAGCCUGGAGCUCAACUCCAGAACUGCCUUUGAGACUGCAUCGCUAGAAUCAUGGAGAGGUAAGUGGAAUUCCGAGUGUAGAGGUGAAAUUCGUAGAUAUUCGGAAGAACACCAGUGGCGAAGGCGACUUACUGGACAUGUAUUGACGCUGAGGCGCGAAAGCGUGGGGAGCAAACAGGAUUAGAUACCCUGGUAGUCCACGCCGUAAACGAUGAUGACUAGCUGUCGGGGCUCUUAGAGCUUCGGUGGCGCAGCUAACGCGUUAAGUCAUCCGCCUGGGGAGUACGGCCGCAAGGUUA